rnacentral:miRNA from 1 species
GGUCAGCUGACACAUCCCUGCCAAUCUCCGGCAGACCCUCCCUCCCAGACCCUCCCACCUCCUGGACAGCAUCCAUGUUGAAGCUGUCUUCAACAUGGAUGCUGUCCAGGAAGUAGGAGGGUCUGGGAGGGAGGGUCUGCCGGAGAUUGGCAGGGAUGUGUCAGCUG